GAUGAACGCUAGCGGCAGGCUUAAUACAUGCAAGUCGAGGGGCAGCGCAGUGUAGCAAUACAUGGGCGGCGACCGGCAAACGGGUGCGGAACACGUACAGAACCUUCCUUCGAGCGGGGAAUAGCCCAGAGAAAUUUGGAUUAAUACCCCAUAGUAUUGCGGAGUGGCAUCACUUUGCAAUUAAAGAUUUAUCACUUGAA
rnacentral:rRNA from 1 species